UGCCAAGUCACAGGAACGUGAUGAGAAACAGAAGCCCCGCUGCACUGAGCACCAACCUACCGGCAGGCUGCUCCUCCUCGUGCCUCCAAGGUCACAGGCAAGUCACUCUGAACACCGCUCAGCACGACAUGCUUGUCCACAUUGGAAGACUGCAAUCUGCUGAGGAGAUGGAUAUUGAAUACAAUUCCAAAAUUACCAGUGUCUACCUUUUCAGUUCUUUUCAAGGCAGAGGAAGGGACUGAACAGAUUCUCACACUCAUGCUUGGAAUCAGGGACAAUGGCAUAAGAGACAGUGAAGAUGUCAGUGAUACUAAGAAGGAGCAGAAGAAACAGAGUUCUGGGAUUGGAAAUGGGAAAUGUAGUAUCAGCUUUACCAUCAAAUGACUAUAUCUUCUUAGGCAAAUCAACAUAUAA